rnacentral:rRNA from 1 species
AUGCGGCGCGAGGGGCGGCAGCGAGGGUGGGUGCGCGUGUACGACCGCGCCCUGGUCGACCCGGAGGGCAAGCGCCGGGCCGUGCACGUCGUGGAUGGCCCCGUGGUGGCCAACGGCGGCUUCAUCAGGGCGCCGCGGAAGCCGACCAACCAGUCCAAGUCCGGCGGCCUCCGCGCGCUCGGCAGGGACGCCCUCGUGCAAGAGGACGAGGAGGAGCGGCAGCUCCAUCCGCCGCUAGGCGCCGGGCAUUCCGGGUACUACUGCACAACGACGUGCCAGUCACCCUUCAGAUUCGAGGCCGUGCCGUAUGGAUGGAGGUACGACGCCUUCGCGCCCGAGGAAGUGCAAGCUCCUCGUCCGCCGCCGGCAGCGCGUUCCGGGGGUAGAGGAGCGUCCUGCAAAGGGAGCCGCAAGUUCAAGCACAGCGAGAUCAAGAUGUACUACGUCGACGCGGCCGAUGACGUCGAUGGGCGCCUAGAUUAUCUCUGUGACUUCGAUUCAUGA